CUAUUUUCAUCAGAAGAAACCCACGGGCAGAGUUCUGUGGUGAAACAAGUACUUAACGGAACCAAGACUCAAACCCGGGUCUUCUGUUUUCUGGUGGUGUUCUCUGGCCAAAAUAACCCUGUCAUGUUUGGUUGAAGUCAUUAUAAAUGCUGCCCCAGAUGCUAUCUAGGGGCUCCUCCGUUUCUAGUUCCUCCUUCCACAAGCCAGAGGCCACAGCCCUUGAUUUGAAUUUUAAAUUAUCCAGGAACCUCCUACCCAAAGAACACACAGCCCUCGUGUACAGCAGCCGGUGGCAACUAGCUGAGUUCAAACAGAUACAAGAAUCUCAUAAUCCGGGCCAGAUGUUAAUCGUCUUUUCUGUAAGAGUAAAACUGAAGGUCUCUAUUUUCAGACUUGGGCAAACUCUACUCCUCAAUUCAUGGAACAAUCUCAGUAUUGAUCUAUGCAUGGUAGGUGCAUUUCAUACAUAUGUACAUAUUUUUAACAAUGUAAGAAGCACCCUCUAUUUCAC
rnacentral:lncRNA from 1 species